UACGAAGGGGGCUAGCGUUGUUCGGAAUUACUGGGCGUAAAGCGCACGUAGGCGGAAUGUUAAGUCAGGGGUGAAAUCCCGGGGCUCAACCCCGGAACUGCCUUUGAUACUGGCAUUCUCGAGUCCGGAAGAGGUGAGUGGAAUUCCGAGUGUAGAGGUGAAAUUCGUAGAUAUUCGGAGGAACACCAGUGGCGAAGGCGGCUCACUGGUCCGGUACUGACGCUGAAGCGCGAAAGCGUGGGGAGCAAACGGG
rnacentral:rRNA from 1 species